AGAGUUUGAUCCUGGCUCAGAACGAACGCUGGCGGCAGGCCUAACACAUGCAAGUCGAGCGCGCCUUCGGGUGAGCGGCGGACGGGUUAGUAACGCGUGGGAACGUGCCCUUUUCUACGGAAUAGCCUCUGGAAACGGAGAGUAAUACCGUAUACGCCCUUUGGGGGAAAGAUUUAUCGGAGAAGGAUCGGCCCGCGUUAGAUUAGGUAGUUGGUGGGGUAACGGCCUACCAAGCCUACGAUCUAUAGCUGGUUUUAGAGGAUGAUCAGCAACACUGGGACUGAGACACGGCCCAGACUCCUACGGGAGGCAGCAGUGGGGAAUCUUAGACAAUGGGCGCAAGCCUGAUCUAGCCAUGCCGCGUGAGUGAUGAAGGCCUUAGGGUCGUAAAGCUCUUUCGCUGGGGAAGAUAAUGACGGUACCCAGUAAAGAAACCCCGGCUAACUCCGUGCCAGCAGCCGCGGUAAUACGGAGGGGGUUAGCGUUGUUCGGAAUUACUGGGCGUAAAGCGCGCGUAGGCGGAUUAGAAAGUUGGGGGUGAAAUCCCGGGGCUCAACCUCGGAACUGCCUCCAAAACUGCUAGUCUAGAGUUCGAGAGAGGUGAGUGGAAUUCCGAGUGUAGAGGUGAAAUUCGUAGAUAUUCGGAGGAACACCAGUGGCGAAGGCGGCUCACUGGCUCGAUACUGACGCUGAGGUGCGAAAGUGUGGGGAGCAAACAGGAUUAGAUACCCUGGUAGUCCACACCGUAAACGAUGAAUGCCAGUCGUCGGGUAGUAUACUAUUCGGUGACACACCUAACGGAUUAAGCAUUCCGCCUGGGGAGUACGGUCGCAAGAUUAAAACUCAAAGGAAUUGACGG
rnacentral:rRNA from 1 species